rnacentral:lncRNA from 1 species
CAGAGAGAGCUAUUCUACCACUAGUUACAUUUUCAUCAAAGGUUAUGCAUUUGUUCCUAAAAUGUCAAAUAUUCCAUAUCGCCCCAAGUAUAAGCUACAGAGGAAUGCUUAGGUAACCAACUGGGACAAAACAAGAGGGAGGAAACAGAAAUACUUCAGAAAAGCUGACCACAGAGGAGACAACCGGAGAAAAGUACUGGAUAUCCUCUGGGAAUGCCUUCUUCACUCUUGAAAAGGACACAAAUGCAUUUCAAUUUUGCUGCCUUUGUGAUGCCUGAAAAAUCAUUUUUAAGACAAAGAAAAGAUGUGAUGUGCCCAAGAGGGUAACAAGACCCUACUUGUUCAUGGGACAGGAAGAACCAUCACAAAGGACUCCCGUUCUCAUCUAGAAUUGGUUAUCUUCCAUAAUUCCAAGCAAACUGAAAACAGAGGAAAGGAGAUGAAUCACAUGCUUAAAGUCACAAAGCUGGUAAACCAAGCUGAGCCACUCUCAACAUCGCCAAACCAUGUCCGUGUGGCCAGAACUUUAAAAUGCUGCAUAAACAAGUCUUAAGUAAAAAAAUCACAGUGGGAGAGGGUUUUUUUUUUUGUGUGUUACAGUGGAUUAAGCCACAUCUCUGGAU